rnacentral:rRNA from 1 species
GACGAACGCUGGCGGCGUGCUUAACACAUGCAAGUCGAACGGAAAGGCCCUGCUUUUGUGGGGUGCUCGAGUGGCGAACGGGUGAGUAACACGUGAGUAACCUGCCCUUGACUUUGGGAUAACUUCAGGAAACUGGGGCUAAUACCGGAUAGGAGCUCCUGCUGCAUGGUGGGGGUUGGAAAGUUUCGGCGGUUGGGGAUGGGCUCGCGGCUUAUCAGCUUGUUGGUGGGGUAGUGGCUUACCAAGGCUUUGACGGGUAGCUGGCCUGAGAGGGUGACCGGCCACAUUGGGACUGAGAUACGGCCCAGACUCCUACGGGAGGCAGCAGUGGGGAAUAUUGCACAAUGGGCGGAAGCCUGAUGCAGCAACGCCGCGUGCGGGAUGACGGCCUUCGGGUUGUAAACCGCUUUCGCCUGUGACGAAGCGUGAGUGACGGUAAUGGGUAAAGAAGCACCGGCUAACUACGUG